rnacentral:rRNA from 1 species
ACUGGCGGACGGGUGAGUAACGUGUAGAUAACCUGCCUAUAUCUGGGGGAUAACAUCUCGAAAGGGGUGCUAAUACCGCAUAAUGCAGCGGGGCCGCAUGGCCACAGUUGUUAAAGGCCUUCGGGUCGGAUAUAGAGGGGUCUGCAUGCUAUUAGUUAGUUGGUGAGGUAACGGCUCACCAAGGCGAUGAUAGCUAGGGGGUCUGAGAGGAUGAUCCCCCACACUGGGACUGAGACACGGCCCAGACUCCUACGGGAGGCAGCAGUGAGGAAUCUUGCGCAAUGGGCGAAAGCCUGACGCAGCCACGCCGCGUGCCGGAAGACGGCCCUAUGGGUUGUAAACGGCUUUUAAAAGGGAAGAACGCCCGGGUUUCGACCUGGGGUGACGGUACCUUUUGAAUAAGCACCGGCUAACUCCGUGCCAGCAGCCGCGGUAAUACGGAGGGUGCAAGCGUUGUCCGGAAUCAUUGGGUGUAAAGGGUGCGUAGGUGGGAGCCUAAGUCUGUGGUGAAAUCUUGCCGCUUAACGGUAAAAUGGCCAUGGAUACUGGGUUUCUUGAGUACAGAAGAGGUCGGUGGAAUUCGUAGUGUAGCGGUGAAAUGCAUAGAUAUAGGAAGGAACACCAGUGGCGAAGGCGGCACUCUGG